AUGAUGAUUUGAAAUUUUAACAUACUUGUAAUACCCAAGAUCCACUGCUAUAUAAAAAUAUUCCAUAGUCUUCAUCAUAAUAAAGCUACCACUCAGUUUUCAGUAUGCUUCUCCUUUGUUGACAGGUGACAGGACAAUCAGGCAAGUCCGUAUUCUUGGUUGAGCCUGAGAGUAUUUGCCAUCUUGAGAAGAGGAGGUGUCAAGUGAACUUGUGAAGUAAAAUAAAGGUGUCAAGUAAAAUACCACAGGUGUGUGGUAUUUUAAAAUCCAUGGUUGUCUCUA
rnacentral:lncRNA from 1 species